UUUGACAUCCAGCUGUAAUGUCAAGAUCUUCUUAUCUGCUAGGGAUAAUAGUAAGUUUCCUUAAUGAGAGUUAUUAGCAGAUAAUAUGAGGAUUCGAGUGUUUCUUUUAUGAAUAAAAUUCUUGAUGCUAUUGAGAAACUCUUAUAAUCUAAAGAAUGAUUUCAUUGAAAUCACAUAUAAUAAAUGAUAUACAUAUAAUGAUAUUUUUCUUAAAUUAAAAAAUUUUUCAAUGAAAGAAACACUCGAUUGCGAUAAAAAUGAGUUAAAGAAUCAUGAUGAGCUUUCACGACAUCUGGCCAUAGCGCAAUAAAUAAGCUGCAUGAAAAUAAUAUUAUGUAAAAUCCGAGCAAAAAUUUCAACCACAUAGAAAAACUUUUGUCGAGAACCUCGAGGAUACCUACUUACCUACGCUACCGAGGAAUUGGACACCGACUUGGCCGAUUAGUCACGAUCGAUCGUUCUCAAAUUGUCGCUUCUUUUUUUGAUUCGUAGCGUGAAUUUAUCGCGUGAUAUUAUAACAUGAUAGCAAGUAUUUAUUUAUAAUUUAUUUACACAUUGUCAAUUCUGAUAUAUCAGAAAUCUGACAUAGUCAAAGUAACUAAAUAUCUUUUUUUCGUAUACCGAUUCAUUCAAGAAUGAUCGAAGAUAAGAUUGUGGAAGCGUAAGAAUCAUUGGAAGCGUGGAAGCGGCGUAAAUCAUUAGCAACAAUAUAGCGAUCGAUCAAGAGAGCUGACGUACACGAAAAGAAGCCAGCGGCAAGUUGCAAUAGGGCCAAUUUCUCUUUAUCAAUGAUCGCCCUGUGGUUUUCUCCGUGGUCAUAGAAUAUGUUAGGUAUACACGAUUUUACCAUGCGACGGUACUGGUUCAUUGUGGUGGCGGUGGCGGCGGUGGCAGCGGGCAGCUCUCGUGCCACUGACCCACAAACAUACUUACCUAUGUUAUACUAUGCUGCUAUAUACAUCGUUCUGCCGUUGUCGCUAUGCUUUAAUGCCCGUACACACCGCGUUUCCGCCUCUCGUACACACGCUUGUGUACGUCGUCCUUGGAAGAUUUACUUGCGGACCUGAUUGCAAUCCUGAUGCUGGUUCGUGAAUUUUUCAUUCGAGCCUGCACCACCGUGAACCGAAAGUAACUGCGCCUCGAGCAACGAGGGCGAUAAUUUUACGGACAAAACUGGAAGAGCAAGGCUGAAAUCCUGCACGGAGAGGCGGAGAGCGGUGCACGAAAAAGAGGUAGUCGAUACGCUCGACUUUUUGCCAUCAUCGUCGUGAAUACAAGACGGCGAGAAUCGUCACGAUGGAUAGCGGCUUGAAGCAACGGGAUGGAAGGAGAAAAUGAACAACCGGCUACGUUAAAAUCACCAGUAUUGACUUUGUGCCCCAAUCGACCUGGCUACCUAACCUUUUGAAAGCGUUUGAUAGAUCACGGGACCGAGUAUAAUCGCACAUGAUAUUGCAUUGAGAAGAGGAGAAAAGACAUAUUGUUGCGUUAUUAUUAAAU